GUGGCGUAGGUGCGGCUGCAGAUUUCAGGUUUUAGCUAGCGCUAGUGUAAAGUAAAACAGUUCUGGAAGCGAAAGUUUAGGGGAGUCAUAAGUAUAUACAUAUGUGUGUCAACCCAAUGUAUAGAGUGGGCCAAAAGUUGUUCUACAAUUAAUAAAAAGUGAUUUUGACCCACGCUGUAUCCUAGAAUUGCUAUUUCAUGCUUUUUUGUUAUUUUGGGUCAGGAAGCGAAAGUCUAGAAGGUUUAGAUUAUAGCCUUAUAUAUUCAUAGGUGUGUGUGUAUUACCUUAAUAUACAGGGUGCGCCAAUGGGGGUUGACAGCCAUCGAAAAGGUGUUUUUGGCCCGUCCUGUGGAUUUGUUGUUUCGUGCAUUUUUUACGUUAUUUGGGUUUCAUUGACUAUAAAUGGUCAAUUCAUUUAUUUCGAUUCGUUUGAAUUUGUGUUAUCGGAUUUUCUCGUUGCAUAAUUGAUGUUUUCUCAAGGGUCUAAUUAUGCAUGAGGAGAAGAUCGCGUCCAUCGUUCUCGUCGCAAGCAACACUUGUUAGAAUAUUUUCAUAAAAACAUUGGUCUCCAAUGCCGAUGCCAGCCCAAGAGAAAUGAUUUGCCACAAUAUGCCAAUUCGGCACGGACUCAAAACAACAAAUCUGCAAAAUAUAUGAAAUUACAGAUGCUGGAGCCAGUUAAAGAGAAAUGAUUUGCCAUAAUAUGCGCGUGAACAUUCGGUAGGAUUUGUGAAAAUGCAAAAUGUAUGAGCCUGGCAAAUCAUGAAAAUGUCAGUUGACUUUCAGAACAUUCAAAUUGAAAACAAAUGCUGCCAGAAGUAAAGUGUUUUCAGUCGUACAAGUUCAAGCCACCCAACCCGUGAAAUAGAUGAAAUUACAAAUGCUGGAGCCAGCCCAAAAGAAAUGAUUUUCCACAUUAUGAUGAAUGCGUCUGUCAGAUUGUCAUACAAGUUCAAAGCAACCUGCGUAAUAUAUAAAAUUAGAUGCUGGAGCCAGCCCAAGAGAAAUGAUUUUCCACAAUAUGAUGAAUGCGUCUAGCAGAUUGGUAAGAUUUGUAAUAAUUUCAGAUGCUGGAGCCAGCCCAGGAGAAAGGAUUUGCCACAAUAUGAUGCGACUGUCAAUUGUUAUGGUUUGUAGGAAUGCCAGGCAAGGAUUCAAACCAACCAGUUUGUCAAAUAUAUAAGCUUCGUUCGCGCUGCUGCUUUUGUGUUCACCGGAACGUGGAAUUGACGUAAAUGAAUGUCAUGGAUUUAGGACUGGCGUACCGAACGAAUAUUCCAACAGAAGCAACGGACGAAACCACGAAUAUGCAAGAAUGGAAAUCUCGUUCAAAAAUAAUAAAUAACAUGACAGAGGAUGGUUGUUAGGUACGAUUGGGUUACUGAUCUAGUUUUUCUCAUUUAAGACGAAAUUACGGAACGCAGGUAUCCCGGACGAAUUUUCCGAAUGGAGCGACGAUAGUAGCCCACGAAUCGGCGUGAGUGAUUAUCUCAUUCGUGCAGACAUCUGAAGAUGCUAUAAUCAACAGUGAGAAAUGUAAAGGCAGGCGUGUCUCUAGUUAGUCCAAAGGGGCAGUCGCCCCGGGCAGCACGGUAUUUAUAAGGGUUAUUCUUUGCCUCCAUAAUUAUGUGAAAGAUGAAAACGAAGAUAGAUUUGAACCAGACUAAAAUUUAAUACAAAUUAUUGCUAAUUCUGAUUAACAUAAUUAUCGGGUGUUCUAAUUUAUAUACACCCCUCCUUCAUGUCCUGCGAACUUUUAAAACUGCUGCUGGUCUAAUUAAUGACAUUGCAAUCGAAUAUUGCACUGAAAAAUCACCGUUUCAGAUACUUUUGCUGUCCAAGGCACCCCGGGGUUUUAGUCCUUUGGGUUAGGCAGAUUUUCUAGUCCACUGGUUCUCGACCUUUUUCUUCCGUGGCCCAUUUUCGUCCCAACAAAAAUUCUGUGGCCCGAUAACUUUGUAAAAAAAAAACUGAAACCAUCUUCCCACAAAAUGGGCACGGUAAUGAUUAGAAUGAAAAUUACCUACCCGAAUCGUCAUUCUUUGCUGCAACAAUCGGAACUAACUGUAGUGACGCAAUUGAAACUAGCAAUUUUUAAUAGACCUGUGAUCCAGCAGUGGGCCAUGGCCUACCGAUUGAGAACCAGUUUUCUGGUCUAAAACCAUCAUCUUGGCUGACCAGUGUUAAAAGACUCUAUUCAUCGACUCUACUAGCCGACUAAAUUUACCCAAUAUGAGUCUUCUUGAAUAAAUUGAUCACGUCAACUAAAUGCUGGUAAAACUCAGAAGUAACUGGACGCUCUUUGACCUGCGGCUCGCGAUUAAUAGCUUAAAUUGCACUUCCCCAUGAUUUUCUCUGGGCACGGUACUGAUUGCGUGUCCUAUAGGUAUGUCACAAGAAUGCUUUAAUGAAAAGGUAUUCUAAUGAUAAAUUUAAGGAGAAAGGGUAAUAAGGUGAAAAUGCCGUUUUAGAUUGUCACCAACACAACUUGCAGAUAUAUCAAGCGAGCAUUGUGGUAUUUUCCCUCCCAUAUCCAUAUUUUUCCCGCAAAUACGACGCGGGCCACGGGUAAUGAAGCGGUGGGCGAGGGUAUGGAGCACCCUGAUUUAAGUGUAAAGCGUUUUCUUAUCCACUUGUUGCAAAUGUUGAAUCAGCGUGAGUGAAUCAAGGUAGUGUCUAAAAAAUUUUCUUCAGUCUGCGGAUAAUGCCCUUUCACUCUAAAAAUAGUGUUUAUUCUUAACCAAAAUGAUGCUUUUUUAUAAUUUGAGCAAAUGCUUAUCUAGAGCGAAGAUGGUGCUUAUUCAUAAAAUAUUGCUUAUUCACUAAUAUUUAGAAGUUAUGUGCAAAUAAACUGGCAAAGUGCAUUA